AGAGUUCCCCGCGGACCGGGAAGACGCGUGAAGCGGCGUCUCCUAGGACCCGGAUUGAGGCAAGAUGGCGGGCUCGUGGUGAGCAGCGGUGAAGGGAUGAAAAUGGGUAUGCCUACAAGCAGAUUUUAAAAGCAGUUCCUCUUCAACUGAUCUUUCCUCUCACCUGAUAAACAUCUUGAUUCACCAUGGCAUUAGCAGCAGCAAAAUGGGUGAUAUCAAACAGGACUGUCUUGAAACAUUUAAUUCCAAUUCAAAAUGGAGCUUUAUGUUGUGUUAGUCAUAAAACUACAUAUUCUUCUCUUCCAGAUGACUAUAAUUGCAAGGUAGAGCUGGCUUUGACAUCUGAUGGCAGGACAAUAGUGUGCUACCACCCUUCUGUGGACAUUCCAUAUGAACACACCAAACCUAUCCCUCGGCCAGAUCCUGUGCAUAAUACUGAAGAAACACAUGAUCAAGUGCUGAAAACCAGAUUAGAAGAAAAAGAUGAACACAUUGAGCAAGGACCCAUGAUAGAACAACUUAGCAAAAUGUUCUUUACUACUAAGCACCGUUGGUAUCCUCGUGGACAGUAUCAUAGACGUCAUAUGAAACUGAAUCCACCAAAAGACAGAUGAUAUUGAGGUUUUCAGAAGUCCAAGAGAAAUGUUAACCCUGUGUCUCGUUUGCCAUGAGAAAAUGCAAUCGGGAAAAGAAGUGUCAACUGAGGAUCAGACUAGUAGGGGAAGAUUGCUUCAUGGAGAACCAUUUUUAAAUUCACCUUGUUGAGAAUCAGCCUUCAGUUUUCUUCUGGGGAUUUACCCUUUCCCCACUCUCAGUCUAUGAAUUCUCAGUGGCAUUCUGAUUCUAUACCAAGAGUGGAAUCAUGACCCAGGCCCAAGAUAACCUGCACAUGUGUUCCUGAGGUGGGUACAUGACUUAAACCAAUGCAAUCCAAGGGCAUUUAAAGACUUUCACACGUGCCACCAGCAGAUAAGUUCUUUCUCUCCACUGAAUAGGAACUUAAGGGUUGUAAGACUAGCGUUCCUGCAGUCAUCUUAUGACCAUGAGGGGAUUGUCUGAUAUGGAGCCAACCCAAAAGACAUGGAACUGAGAAACGGAGAAAAUGAAACUAGAUCCUAAUUACUUAAACCAAAAAUUAAUUUUUUGCUUAAGCCCAUUUGAAUGGAUCUUUCUUACAUAUGGAAUCAACAUUUGAAUCAAAAUGAAUCUGAAUGAAUCUAAAAUCAAAAAAGUCUUAACUGAUGUAAUAAUCGUGUUCAAAAUUAAAUGAUCACGAUCAAAAUUAACUUGAAAAAAUAUAUACAUACAUGUUUAGAGCACAGUCUGAGAAACAAAUGAAAUAGAAUCUGUUGGCUAUGUCAGCUUGUUCUAUAUGCUUGCCAAAAUUAAUGUCUAGAAAAGAGAGUAAAGCGUGAGUAUCCUAAGAGUAAAACUGGAGUAGUCUAAAAAAAUCCAACCAGUUGCUAGGGAUAUCCUGACUUGAGAGAUUCAGAACAGUCCCUUAACAAUGCAUUAUGAUGAAAACAGUUCUUCACAACAGUGACCAUGAAACACUCGAAAGCCAGUUAUAAGAGAGAUUCAUAGGCUCAUAGAACUUUAGAUCUGGAGGAGUUAAAAUCAUCUGCAACUCAGUAAUGGAGGGAAAUGGAUUCAUUGCAUUUUAAACAAUAGAAAUUGAAAUGGAUGUUUUAGGUAAUCCUUAAAUGAUUGAAAGCAGUGGUUUCCCAGUCUCCUCUACUGACUAAGGCUCUACAGUACAAGGGAAUUUUAUCACAGCUGGGCCUUCUUAGGUCUCCAGGGGCAAAGAAGCUUAGUGAAAACUCCUACUUCAUUUCUCCAUUGUAUAACUCUUAUGGUGGGACAUACCUGUUUUUCAAAGUAAUAUUUGAGGAAUGUCAUAGAUUUUGACUCAGAUUAUUUGGGAGGAAGAAUGUGGAGUAGAAUAUGGAAGAAAUGUAGAGUUAGCAGAUUUUCAUUUGGAUCCUAGCCCUGUCCAUAACUGAGCUGCUAGAUGUAUAAGCCCCAUGAAGACAUGGCCUAUAUCUGUCUUUUAAUUCAUUGAUGUACACUUAGUGCCACAAUGCACCACAAUAUCUGGCACAUAUAAUGAAUGCUCAAUAGGUUUUUGUUAACUAAAUUAAUAUAUGGAUUUUGUGGAGUCCCUUAACCUUUCUGUUAGUGUAACUUGUUGCUUUGGUAACAAGCACCAAAGCCUCAGUAAAGUUUAUUUAUAAAUAAAUCACAAUAAAAGUUUAUUUCUCAUUCCUGUUACAGUCUAAUUCUGGUCAGUUGAUAGGGAAAAAUAUCUCUGCUCCCAGAGUCAUUCAAGGACCCAGGCUCCUGCCAAGUGAUGGCUUCACCAUUGCCUGGGGCUUGGACUCUUCUGGAUCCUGUGCUUCUGGAGGGCAGGCAAAGAAGAGAAUGUAGAGAAGAGAGGACUGUAUGUUUGGUUUUAGUGGUCAUCCCUAACGGAGGGGGCCAGAAUUCAGUUCUUUGCCAGACUACCCCUCCUACUAUAAGAGAGCUGGGAACUGAUUUAGUGGCACACCCCUUUAAGAAGAGGAGAAAUAAACGUUGAUGAGAUUAAGCUUUCUCUGCUUCACUCUCUGAGCCCCAAUUCUUCUGAAAAGAAGAAACGAUAAUUACUAUUUGCCAGCACUUUAUGAGGAUUUAAUGAGGCAAUGAAUGUAGAAGUACUUGGUAAAGUGCUGUCAAAUGUUACUUAUGAGUAUUCCUCAGUAAUUUGGUCCCUUUACGUCUGCAUUUAAUCUUUGAAAUGUGUAUGCUGAAAUGCUAAGAACCUUUCCAGCUCUAAAAUGCUUAAAUUCUGUGAUAUUUUAACCUUCAGCAAGCAAAUAACUUUCUGGCUUUGUCUUGCUUGGUGCCUGGGAUAAACCCUUUAGGAUCCUACAUGAUUCUACAACUCAGUUCUCCUGCCCCCAAGCUCUCUUACAUUGUUGUAAUAUUGCCUGUGUUCUUUUUGAGACAUAACCUGACUACAUUCUCUCAUUUUAAUACUAUUCAUUCCAACCAUGGGUAAUAAAUAACUUUGCCUUCCUAUUGCAUCAAAUUCCAACCUGCUAGACUUACCUAAUUUCUGAAGAAAAUCUUAGAUGUAGGGUAGAGAAUCUAAGGAAGCAUCAAACAGACUUGAAAUAUUAAAAACAAACAUGAUUACUUUAAUCCUGUCUUGAAAGAUUCUAUGUAAUAGAAGUUUGGUUUAAUCUA